GUGAUGGAAGUGUUGGCAGUUGUGACACUGCACAACACUUUCAUAACAUUGUGUUAAUUCCAUAACAUUGUGUUCCAUUAUUGUUGUGCAGUGUCACAACUGCCAACACUUCCAUUAGAUUUAUAAAC
rnacentral:pre_miRNA from 1 species